GAGGGAGCACGGAAGUGGAAGGCACCACGGCUGGGGUUGUAACGGCAAGCCUUACGCAAAUAGGCAAGGUACUUGAGCUUGUUACGGAAGAAAUGGCCGGAAAUAUUCAAUUCUUCACAGCGAACUACAACAACCUUCUGGCCGCCCAAAAGUUGCUUGGCGACAACAGAUGCCAAACGUCCAAGGAGAUGUCUAAAUUUUGUUAGAAAACAAUUCAAAAAGCAUUAGAAUUUUCAAAUUCUCUUACCCCUUAGCGUCAAUCACAACGACCUUCUGGAAUUCCGACAUUGUG